rnacentral:tRNA from 3 species
GGGCGAAUAGCUCAGCUGGGAGAGCGCUUCCCUUACAAGGAAGAGGUCGCAGGUUCGAGUCCUGCUUCGCCCACCA